CAAAUUUGAGCAGGGCACUUGGUGACCUACUUAGACAUGACAUUCCUUGGCCUCCCUUUCAGCAAGAUGAGAAAACUGAGGCACAGAGAGGUGAAAUAAGGAAUGAAAUAUUACUGGAUGAAAUAAUUAUACUGAUCCUAGCCUUAUUUUAAAAGGGCCCCCAGAAUGCUCUUCUCCAAGACUUAGAAAAAUCAAAUGCUAUCCAUCCCUCAAGAUACAUCCCUCCAGCCCCUCCUUGAAGUCUCCUGCAGCUAGAAGUAGAAGUAGCAUCUAUCCCCAUCUGGACUCCUUAGCACUUUGCUGUACCUGCCUUAGUCCCCAUCUCUUUACACACACACACACACACACACACACACACACAGAGUAUUAUAAUACUAUUACCUAUUAUAUUACAUUAUAUUAUUGUAGUUCUACAGGAACUACAAGGAAUUCUACUGUGAAUUCCUUAAGGGUGGGAUACAUUUUACAAUCAUCACUGUUUCUCUCAUUAGUUGUGGAAUCAAAAAAAUGAGUGCACGAUGAAAAAUUAUUCAAACACAUACAUGCUUUCAUUCCAAUUGAAAAUGUAAAAAUAUUACUGUUAAAACAAUAUUAAAGGACAUGUAAUACAAUUCAAAUAUUCCUACCAUGCACGAUUGUUUUCACUUCUUUGUGCCUCUUUCACCAUUUAUUUGUGUGCAUACUCAGCAUAUUUGUUUGUGUAACAGGAUGUUAAAAAUAGAAUUUGUUGCCUGUAGUUUUUGCUAAAGCUCUACUAGACUGGAACAGAACAAUAGGUGGUAAAUACUCCAUUCCUCAGUGAGAUGCUACCUACCUAUGCAGAGCUGGAAAAGAUUUUGCAACCUGAAAACCCAAUCCUUUCUGAGAUAUAAAAGAACAGAAGAGUCUGGAAGUGAUUUCUUCGGAGAAAUUCAUUUUCUUAUUCCAGAGAAGAAACUUCAAGCUCAGAAUAUUGGCUACUACCUGUGAUAAACAUUUAAAUUAUUGGAACGAGAGAGUUUUUAUAACUAAAUUUGAAAGAAGCAAUUUUUUUUAUCAAAGACCAACCCGAAGAUUCAUGACCACUACCUGUGAUUUCAUCCAUGUUGCAAGGAAAAUCCUGCCCCACUUCCCCAAUAGGAAGAGUGGUGGGGGAAUAAUAAAGUUGUUUUAUGAUGCAUCCUGUGGACUUCUACUCGACAGAAUGGUAACAUUCAACUGUAAUCAGGAUGAGCAAGCCACUUUAUUAAACUAAAAUUUUAAACUUUAAUAAAUAUAAUACAAACUGAAAAAUAAAAAUAAUUUUUCAACUCUACACAAGUAUGUUAACUGCAUAAACAGUGAGAUGUUACACAGGGCUGAGGCCUAUACUUCUUCAGUUUGUACAUUAAACGUCUCCAUGGAGGGUCAAUUGCAUCCUACCUAUUCUGACAGUUAUCAGGUAGCGAGAGAUUUGAGGAAGAGGCGCUUUUCUAAUCUGGGGUAGGAAAAGGAAUGAUACCAUGUAUCAUGAGAAGUAUUUGCACAUAGUGUGUCAAUUAAGCAAGUGCUCAGACUAUUAACAAC
rnacentral:lncRNA from 10 species